GACGAACGCUGGCGGCGUGCUUAAUACAUGCAAGUCAACUUGACUUUAGAUAGCAAUAUCGAAAAGUAGGGUGGCGCACGGGUGCGUAACGCGUAGGUAAUCUGCCCUGAGGUCUGACAUAACCCGUCGAAAGGCGGGCUAACAUCAGAUGAUAUAUAAUCACGACAUCGUGGAAAAUAUCAAAUCUUCGGAGCCUUGGGAUGAGCCUGCGUCUGAUUAGGUAGUUGGCGGAGUAAUAGCCCACCAAGCCUACGAUCAGUAGCUGGUCUGAGAGGAUGAUCAGCCACACUGGAACUGAGACACGGUCCAGACUCCUACGGGAGGCAGCAGUAAGGAAUAUUGCUCAAUGGGGGAAACCCUGAAGCAGCAACGCCGCGUGAAGGAUGAAAUACUUUUGUAUGUAAACUUCUGUAAGAUGGGAAAAAUAUUCUCCUCGGGAGAAUUGAUUGUACCAUCAGAGUAAGCCCCGGCUAACUACGUGCCAGCAGCCG
rnacentral:rRNA from 1 species